UUGAUGGCAGGCGGUGGCUACCAGUCUGGCCGUCCAUCUGCCCGCCAGCUGUUCGAUCGUUACUGUCAUAUGUGCUUUUGU
rnacentral:pre_miRNA from 1 species